rnacentral:misc_RNA from 1 species
AAGUCGUAACAAGGUCUCCGUAGGUGAACCUGCGGAGGGAUCAUUACCGAGUUCAUGCCCUUACGGGUAGAUCUCCCACCCUAUGUUAUAUUACCUUUGUUGCUUUGGCGGGCCGACAGGCUUCGGUCAGUCUACCGGCUCCGGCUGGUAAGCGUCCGCCAGAGGACCCCAAACUCUGAAUUUUAGUGUCGUCUGAGUACUAUCUAAUAGUUAAAACUUUCAACAACGGAUCUCUUGGUUCUG